UACGUAGGGUGCAAGCGUUGUCCGGAUUUACUGGGCGUAAAGGGCGCGUAGGCGGCCUCCGCAAGUCGACUGUGAAAUCUCCGGGCUUAACCCGGAAAGGUCAGCCGAAACUGCGGGGCUAGAGUGCAGAAGGGGCAACUGGAAUUCUCGGUGUAGCGGUGAAAUGCGUAGAUAUCGAGAGGAACACCUGCGGCGAAGGCGGGUUGCUGGGCUGACACUGACGCUGAAGCGCGAAAGCUAGGGGAGCGAACGGG
rnacentral:rRNA from 1 species